rnacentral:rRNA from 1 species
CAGUAGCCGCGGUAAUACGAAGGGUGCAAGCGUUACUCGGAAUUACUGGGCGUAAAGCGUGCGUAGGUGGUGGUUUAAGUCCGUUGUGAAAGCCCUGGGCUCAACCUGGGAAUUGCAGUGGAUACUGGGUCACUAGAGUGUGGUAGAGGAUAGUGGAAUUUCCGGUGUAGCAGUGAAAUGCGUAGAGAUCGGAAGGAAUAUCUGUGGCGAAGGCGACUAUCUGGGCCAACACUGACACUGAGGCACGAAAGCGUGGGGAGCAAACAGGAUUAGAUACCCGCGUAGUCCCUGUCUCUUAUAC